rnacentral:rRNA from 1 species
CAGUAGCCGCGGGAAUACGGAGGGGGCUAGCGUUGUUCGGAAUUACUGGGCGUAAAGCGCACGUAGGCGGCUUGGUAAGUUAGAGGUGAAAGCCUGGAGCUCAACUCCAGAAUUGCCUUUAAGACUGCCGAGCUAGCAGGUGAGAGAGGUAAGUGGAAUUCCGAGUGUAGAGGUGAAAUUCGUAGAUAUUCGGAAGAACACCAGUGGCGAAGGCGGCUUACUGGCUCAUACUGGACGCUGAGGUGCGAAAGCGUGGGGAGCAAACAGGAAUAGAUACCCCUGUAGUCCCUGUCUCUUAUAC